GUGCUCGCUUUGGCAACACAUAUACGAAAAUGGGGAUGAGACAGAGAAGAUGAGCAUGGCCCCAGCCCAGGAUGGCAUACACAUAAAUUGUUGAGCAUUCCCUGAGUUU
ensembl:snRNA U6 U6 spliceosomal RNA